rnacentral:lncRNA from 1 species
ACGAUGAGGGGAUUGGCCGCAACAGAUUUGGCGCGCUAGGAAGGGGGUGACCGCCCUGUGCUGGUCCGACCUGCCGGAUAGCUUGGAAAAAUCUUUUUGAAAUGACAAGAACCAGGGCUCAGCGAUCGAGGGCCACCGGAUCAGCGAGGCACUCUUCCCACUGGGAAGAGGCCUCUCUUCCAUCCUCCAUGGUGGAACCUAGCUCUCCGCAUCCUGUGG